rnacentral:rRNA from 1 species
AGUGAACGCUGGCGGUAGGCCUAACACAUGCAAGUCGAACGGCAGCACAGUAAGAGCUUGCUCUUACGGGUGGCGAGUGGCGGACGGGUGAGGAAUACAUCGGAAUCUACUUUUUCGUGGGGGAUAACGUAGGGAAACUUACGCUAAUACCGCAUACGACCUACGGGUGAAAGCAGGGGAUCUUCGGACCUUGCGCGAUUGAAUGAGCCGAUGUCGGAUUAGCUAGUUGGCGGGGUAAAGGCCCACCAAGGCGACGAUCCGUAGCUGGUCUGAGAGGAUGAUCAGCCACACUGGAACUGAGCCACGGUCCAGACUCCUACGGGAGGCAGCAGUGGGGAAUAUUGGACAAUGGGCGCAAGCCUGAUCCAGCCAUACCGCGUGGGUGAAGAAGGCCUUCGGGUUGUAAAGCCCUUUUGUUGGGAAAGAAAAGCAGCAGGUUAAUACCCCGCUGUUCUGACGGUACCCAACGAAUAAGCACCGGCUAACUUCGUG